rnacentral:tRNA from 1 species
ACUUUAAAGGAAACUAGCAACCCAUAAC